UACGGAGGAGGCAAGCGUUAUCCGGAAUUAUUGGGCGUAAAGCGUCCGCAGGUGGCACUUCAAGUCUGUCGUCAAAGACUGGGGCUUAACCCUGGAAAGGCGGUGGAAACUGAAGCGCUAGAGUGCGGUAGGGGUAGAGGGAAUUCCCGGUGUAGCGGUGAAAUGCGUAGAGAUCGGGAAGAACAUCGGUGGCGAAAGCGCUCUGCUGGACUGCAACUGGCACUCAGGGACGAAAGCUAGGGGAGCGAAUGGG
rnacentral:rRNA from 1 species